rnacentral:rRNA from 1 species
UACGUAGGGUGCGAGCGUUGUCCGGAAUUAUUGGGCGUAAAGAGCUCGUAGGCGGUGUGUCACGUCGGCCGUGAAAACCUGCAGCUUAACUGUGGGCGUGCGGUCGAUACGGGCAUCACUGGAGUUCGGCAGGGGAGACUGGAAUUCCCGGUGUAGUGGUGAAAUGCGUAGAGAUCGGGAGGAACACCCGUAGCGAAGGCGGCCGACUGGACCACACCUGACGCUGAGGCGCGAAGGCCAGGGGAGCGAACGGG